rnacentral:pre_miRNA from 8 species
GUAUAUAUACACAUACGUAUAUGUGUAUAUAUACAUACAUACACAUAUACGUAUAUGUGUAUAUAUGUG